UACGUAGGCAGCAAGCGUUGUUCGGAAUUACUGGGCGUAAAGAGUGUGUAGGCGGUGCUCUAAGUUCGGUGUGAAAGCCACCGGCUCAACCGGGGAGAGUCGUCGUGGACUGCACGGCUUGAGGGCGGCAGGGGUUGGUGGAAUUCCCGGUGUAGUGGUGAAAUGCGUAGAGAUCGGGAGGAACACCCGUGGCGAAGGCGGCCAACUGGGCCGACCCUGACGCUGAGGCGCGAAGGCGUGGGGAGCGAACGGG
rnacentral:rRNA from 1 species